GGCUUGGUAGUGGGUGGUCCAUAUCUGCAUUCUGUUACCAGGUUAUAAAUCCUUUAAGCAGAAGCAGCCCGUUCGAUUCGGGCCCGAGCUA